rnacentral:lncRNA from 1 species
UUAUUUUUAUCCUUAUGCCUUUCAACCUGCGUCUGAGAAACUUUACACACAUGAAUAGUGAUCAAUAUUCAAGACUACAAGUCCAGGAUCAAUUUAAGAAAACAACUUUAUAAAGGGUACGAUAAUUCAUUUAAGGAGACAACAGACUAUCAAUAUCCGAAGAAAUUCAAAGUUCAUAAAUGCAUGUUCGUGUCACACCUUUGGGCAAGAAACACAAACUGCCAUUUAUUGUUUAUGUAUUCGUGUUUUCUUUCCCCACAACCAAAACUAAUACUGAAAAGACAAAACCAAACUUUGAGGAAAUCAGUUAGAAAAAUUAAAACAAAUUAUGGCAUAAUUAUCAUACUUCAGCAUUUAUAUCGAGCUUAGUAGAGUAAGCUUAUAACCCAAGUAGGAGACCCUUUAGACAUCACCCUGACUACAUUCAGGGGACGAGUGCCUUCAUAUUAGUUGUGCCAAUCCUGAUUAAGGCCAUCUAGAUCAUCGAGACUAGUUGAUGCUUAGAACUUGAAAGGAGAAACCAAGCUAUUUCUGGAACCUCGACUACAAAUAAUUGAUAACUAUCCUUACAGAGAACCAUAUGAAGUAUUAAUUGCCCCAUGUAUAUAAAAAUAGACUUUCCAAACCAAUGGAACAUAAUGGCUUGCAUUGUAUAGCGGCAUACCACCCAAACAAUAUUAGGAAGCUACCCGAGUCAGACCAGUGAAAUCUUGCUCCUUGUGUCCAUGUACCAUGAAAUUCAAAUAAAGUAAGCAUGUAAAGAGUUAUCACAGGGGGCAUUAAACUGAUAAGAGAAACCCAAUAUUUCCCCUCACUCCAACUUAUAAAGCUCAAGUGAAGUGGAAAGCGUGAUGCUUACGGAAGGCUAAGUGAAACUAAAGUCCCAAUCAUCACAUGUGAUGGGACCUGCCUUCGCACCCAAAACACAUACUAUAUUCUAAAAAACUGGACAAUAGCCGGCCGCGAUAAAACCCAAUGAAUAAAGAACAAAAUACCCCUGAGAAUAAAGAACAAAAUGCCCCAAGAUCAACUCUCAGAUCAUUGAUAUUGAAGGGAUCAAAACAGCCAGUGCUCAAUAGAUUCUUCAAAGAAAGAAAAGGACACCCAAUUCCAUAUACACUAGUAUAAAUCUUGAAUGAUUAGACUACUAAAGUAAAUAGAAAUCACCUAACCUAUGUGAUUAGUAAAGAUUAAAAAAAUGGGCAAAGCCAAAACUUGCUUGAAUCUUGAUUCGACCUAAUCGAGCCAGUUAUACCCAAAAGCACAUACAUUUCAUUCCAGCUAAAUAUAUAAACUUUGGUAAUUGAAGAAGAAAACUAGAAAGCCUCACAUUGCCUCAGGUGCAUGCGUAUGUUUGAUGAAACCUUAAUCUUUACCAUGAACCUUAGAUCACAAUGAUACAAAUAGAGCUAGAAGACAUACCUGACGAAGCCAAGCUAACAUUGUCAGUGGUUGUAAAUGCAUGUUUAUAUCACACCUUUAAGCAAGAGAUAUAAACUGCCAUUGUCCUUUGUUGUACAACCAUCACUACAGGAUCUUAUCAUGCAAUUAUAUCAUGUCUUUGGACAAGAAUGUAGCCUAAUCAAUAUGAUGCUAUACACUGAUUAAAAACACCUAACAACUUAUACAUUCUCCUAUUUGGAAAAGAAUGUGAACAUUUCAUGGGUUUUUGAACCACAAUGCAUGUAAAUAGGAAAUUGGUUAUUCCUUUUGAGUAAACCUUCAUCUUUCUGAGCAACAAGCCAUUGUACAAUCCCAGCGGACCUUGCUCUCGCAUGAUCUCUCCCAAUGUCAGGAAUGAUGGGUUGACCCAGAAGACAACGACUCGCCGUUCAGUUGGAGCAUCGUCUUCGUUACGUCUACCAGAAAUGUCGUCUCCGCCACCAUGGCCAAGACCGAGGCCAGAAAGAUCUUCCUAAGGCUUUGCGAUCUUCGCUUGGUUUCAUCGUCAACAAGAGUAAAAACCUUAGAAAUUGAAUCACUCCAUGCAUCCUUUCCCAGACCAAAAUUUCCAUAAAAUCCCCAACUCGAUCAACCAACACAAACACAGAGAAAAGAAAUACAUAUUAGUGGAAGAGUUAUAGUGCCCACGAUAAAAAGAAAUAAACUGCAGCAAUCACCUUACAAAUUUUAUACAUUCUUAAAGCAUUAGGAUUUCUUAUUAAUUCAUCGGACCUAGGGUUUGCUAACUAGGCUCUGAUACCAAAUGUUGGAAUAACCUUAGUUAUUAGCAUGUAUACUAGGUCACGAUUUGAAAUUAGAUAAGAAAGACUUACCUAGUGCAGCCAUGGUUAAUGUUAACACACUCAAUAAUUCUUCUACUCACUCAAGACCUUAUGUUCCAAUGGUGAUAGAACCCUAAUUGCAGAACGUAUUUCUCUGUGAGCAGGGAACUCUUGCACUUAUAGAAGCAAUGACAGCCAACUCCCAUCUAUUGUGGAGGGUUGGUUAUUUUCCCGUUGCUUCAAAUCCCAAUCGUGUAGAGGUGGUUAUGAUUAUUGCUUCCUUUCAAAUGCACAAUGAAAGUAUACCUCUCAUUAUAUGAUGUAGCUUUCCACGUAUCCAAACUCUUAUUAAUUUGUAUUAUCAACAUAUUAUUUCUCCUUUAUCUUUAACUAGUUGAGUCCACUUAGGAUUCUUACAUGAAAUGCCAAGAUUGCUUUCCAACGACAACUUUAUAAGGAAGCCCAAGCAGCAGCUGUCAAA